GAUUGAAUUUUUUGUAAUCCAUGAUCGAAUUGUUUUUUUCUGUUCUUGUAAUCCACGAUCGAAUUUUUUGUUUUUUUAUGUUUUUUUUUUUUGUAAUCCAUGAUCGAAUUUUAUGUAAUCCAUGAUCGAAUUUUUUGUAAUCCAUGAUCGAAUUUUUUGUAAUCCAUGAUCGAAUUUUUUGUAAUCCAUGAUUGAAUUUUUUGAAAAUUUGUAUUUUUUUUUUUAAUCCAUGAUCGAAUUUUUUUUGUAAUCCAUGAUCGAAUUUUUAGAAAAUUUGUGAUUUUUUUUUUAAAUCCAUGAUCGAACUUUUUGAAAAUUUGUUAAUUUUUUUUUUUAAUCCAUGAUCGAAUUUUUUGAAAAUUUGCUGUACUUUUUUUUUUUAUUUCUUUUUAUCCAUGAUCGAAUUUUUUGAAAAAUGACGAUUUUCUGAAAAGAUGUGAAAAUCGUGAUAAAUUGUAUGUUGAUGGAUUAUUUAUGCAAAAAAAUGCAUGUUAUUAUAUUUUUAAUACAAAACUGUAUUUUUUUUAUCUGUUGUUCAUGGAUUUUUUAGUUGGAAUGACUGAUGUUAGCCGGCUCUUUGAAGAAUUGUUUUUAUUAUUAAAUUUUUAAUGUAAAAAAUGUAUGUUCUUGAUAAUUGAGUUGUAGCCAUGUUUGGAGCUUGCAUUUUGUAUUAUUCUAAAUGUUUGUAAUUGAUAUGUACGAAAAUAUUAUUGUCAAAAAAGGUAUUUUGCAAUAACAAAUAACAACGAAUAUGACUACAUGAACUACCGCAACAUAUUAUCACUACAUAUGGUGAUUAUUUUUCUUUUUGAACUGUCAGGUUAAUUUAAACUUUUUACAUCUUAAAACAGUUGAAUCAUGUCAAGAUCUACAGAAGACCCUG
rnacentral:lncRNA from 1 species